rnacentral:rRNA from 1 species
UACGGAGGGGGCUAGCGUUGUUCGGAAUUACUGGGCGUAAAGCGCGCGUAGGCGGACCUGCAAGUCGGGGGUGAAAGCCCGAGGCUCAACCUCGGAACUGCCUUCGAUACUGCGGGUCUCGAGUCCGGGAGAGGUGAGUGGAAUUCCCAGUGUAGCGGUGAAAUGCGUAGAUAUUGGGAGGAACACCAGUGGCGAAGGCGGCUCACUGGACUGGUACUGACGCUGAGGCGCGAAAGCGUGGGGAGCAAACGGG